ACGGGUGAGUAACACAUCGGAACGUGCCUAGUAGUGGGGGAUAACUACUCGAAAGAGUAGCUAAUACCGCAUGAGAUCUAAGGAUGAAAGCAGGGGACCUUCGGGCCUUGCGCUACUAGAGCGGCUGAUGGCAGAUUAGGUAGUUGGUGGGAUAAAAGCUUACCAAGCCGACGAUCUGUAGCUGGUCUGAGAGGACGACCAGCCACACUGGGACUGAGACACGGCCCAGACUCCUACGGGAGGCAGCAGUGGGGAAUUUUGGACAAUGGGCGAAAGCCUGAUCCAGCAAUGCCGCGUGUAGGAUGAAGGCCCUCGGGUUGUAAACUACUUUUGUACGGAACGAAAAGCUCUCUUCUAAUAAAGGAGAGUGAUGACGGUACCGUAAGAAUAAGCACCGGCUAACUACGUGCCAGCAGCCGCGGUAAUACGUAGGGUGCGAGCGUUAAUCGGAAUUACUGGGCGUAAAGCGUGCGCGGGCGGUUAUGUAAGACAGAGGUGAAAUCCCCGGGCUCAACCUGGGAACGGCCUUUGUGACUGCAUAGCUAGAGUACGGUAGAGGGGGAUGGAAUUCCGCGUGUAGCAGUG
rnacentral:rRNA from 1 species